rnacentral:rRNA from 1 species
UACGUAGGGUGCAAGCGUUAAUCGGAAUUACUGGGCGUAAAGCGUGCGCAGGCGGUUUUGUAAGACUGUCGUGAAAUCCCCGGGCUUAACCUGGGAAUGGCGAUGGUGACUGCAAGGCUAGAGUUUGGCAGAGGGGGGUAGAAUUCCACGUGUAGCAGUGAAAUGCGUAGAGAUGUGGAGGAAUACCGAUGGCGAAGGCAGCCCCCUGGGUCAAUACUGACGCUCAUGCACGAAAGCGUGGGGAGCAAACAGG